UGGAGAGAGCAUUUUUAUCCCAUAUUUUUCUGCAAAGCAACAACUUAUGUAAGAAGGAACUGAAUUUGUGGAAGUCACCAACCCAAAAGGAUUACCUGCUGCACCCCAAGUGAUCUGGCUGAGAAACUCCAAAGCCCCUUGGUAAAGAUGACACAGCGUCAAAGUAAUGAGGAGUGAAUGUGGCCAACUCAUACUUUCCCACGGGAUCAGCGAGCACCAGCAACAAAACUUAGAGGUACACAUGAAAAAGACAUGAUAACAUAGUCUAUGGUAACUUUAAAAAGAAAAACACAGGCAAGAAAUGGCAGAGGCCUGGCAAAAGCAUGCCAAGAGGUGCUAAGAAGUAGAGCAUUCCCAUUACUUGAAAUGAGAACUUGUGGGACUUGCUAAUGGACACUUAGCGGGGAAGCACAACACUGCCCAGGCCGUCCCAGGCUUUUGACCCGAGCCAUUGAAAUGGAGUCAUAUUUACCAAGAUGGGAACAGCCAGGUCAGCAGCCUUGGCCAGUGCCCAACCCAACUUGCUUUCUGUUUCUGUACACCUGCUAGUUAAGUAAGCUUUUACUGGAUUUCAACAAGGUUUUUAAAACCAAAGAGAAAAAGUAUGUGAUACUGUAUGUGGUACUCAAAGCCUAAACUAUUUACUAUCCUUUUGCAAAGUGUGGCAACUCCUAAGCCAUAGGAGACAGGUUUGGGAGGGAAGACAAGGAGCUAGAAAUGAACACACAGUUUAAGGGGCCAGUCAGAUAUCCAUGUACAGAUGUUGGGCAGGCAGCUCCAGCUGCAAGGCCAGGGCCUGGGGAGAGGCUACCAUGAGCUCAAAGUUUUUGAGCACAAAGCCCAAAUCACCACGUAGGCUGGAGGCCACAGCACCCUUGCCAGUCCCUGUGAGGGCCAUCCCACCCCAGCUAUCAUGCCCCAGGGGACAAUGCAGACUUUCCUGGCUCUGGGGACAGCUGUUCUUCACAAGAAGACUUCAGGAAAUGUGUCAUCACAUCAAGAAACUCAGUUCUUGCUGAAUGGUCCAGGCAACAGACAGAUCAGUGAGGCUGACUGUGGAGGCAGAGCCCCACUUUGGAUGGAACACAGGAACCCUGCGGCAGCCUGGAUGACAAAGAGCAUCCACUUGAAAACUCAGGCUGGUGUGAUCAAGGAUGUCAGGGAUGGAGGGCUGAAGAGGAUGGACACUUCCAGAACCCACAUCAAGGCCUCCUGAGAUGGCCCCACUCCCUGAAGCAGCCUCCCUGCCAUGCCUCCCCACCACACAGCACACACCCAGAGAGUGCACAGCGCCCCUCCAAGUCAGGCCCACUCUGCACUGGGCUCUUGAUAUGCUGCUUUCCAGGGAAGACCAGCCUCGGGCUGCAUAUUUACAGGCUGACCUGGGGCC